UAGGGAAUCUUCCGCAAUGGACGAAAGUCUGACGGAGCAACGCCGCGUGAGUGAUGAAGGCUUUCGGGUCGUAAAACUCUGUUGUUAGGGAAGAACAAGUACAAGAGUAACUGCUUGUACCUUGACGGUACCUAACCAGAAAGCCACGGCUAACUACGUGCCAGCAGCCGCGGUAAUACGUAGGUGGCAAGCGUUAUCCGGAAUUAUUGGGCGUAAAGCGCGCGCAGGCGGUUUCUUAAGUCUGAUGUGAAAGCCCACGGCUCAACCGUGGAGGGUCAUUGGAAACUGGGGAACUUGAGUGCAGAAGAGAAAAGCGGAAUUCCACGUGUAGCGGUGAAAUGCGUAGAGAUGUGGAGGAACACCAGUGGCGAAGGCGGCUUUUUGGUCUGUAACUGACGCUGAGGCGCGAAAGCGUGGGGAGCAAACA
rnacentral:rRNA from 3 species